rnacentral:rRNA from 1 species
UACGUAGGGUGCAAGCGUUGUCCGGAAUUAUUGGGCGUAAAGAGCUCGUAGGCGGUUUUGUUGCGUCGGCUGUGAAAUCCCGAGGCUCAACCUCGGGUCUGCAGUCGAUACGAGCAAACUAGAGUGUUGCAGGGGGAGACUGGAAUUCCUGGUGUAGCGGUGAAAUGCGCAGAUAUCAGGAGGAACACCGGUGGCGAAGGCGGGGUCUCUGGGCAACAACUGACGCUGGAGGAGCGAAA